ACAGAGCAUUUUGUACCUAGUGGGGCGGGUCAUGUUGGAGGGUAUGCCAUGUCUCGGCGGCACUUGCUUCAGUGCAGAGGAUUCCUAGAAAACCUAUCAUGCAGUUCCACAGCGAUGAAGUCUGGCCCCUGACCUCCAUUGUAGAGUAAGAGACCAUCAGGAUGUCGUCCCCGGAACAUGAAGAGAAGAUGCAUAGAGGCAUAGGCUUGGAGCCGCGGAAGGGCUAGAUGAGCUGGCCCUGAACGAAAGACUACAGGAUCAGCUAACAGUGGACGAAGACCUCCAGCUCGAGCAUUGAGCUCACAACGUCUGCCUAAUUCACCAUCCUGACAUAAGUCAAGAUAUGGGGCACCAUUAUAGCGCAAAGCUGUCAGGUGACCCAAGAAGUUUGAGGGUGGAGCUGAAAGGAAACGACGCUCCGUCAUUAUCCCAGUUUCCAGAUGGUGAAGCUCCAGUCGGGUGUGGUCACCAGCCAUAUGACCUUGAGAAGAAAGAAUGAAAACAGAAAAUCUCAUAAGUAAACAAGAACUAAAAAGAAUAUAAAACAAUCUCUGUUUUCAUGUGAGAUUGUAUAAAAUAUGGCUGUACACUGCAGUAACAGUUUGCUUUAAUAUUAUUUGCUGUCAUUUAUGUUAUGUUAUUUAUCAUCUUUAUGGAAUAUCUACAUUUUAUUUAUUAACUUACACUGUAUACAUCUAAUUACUCAUUAAAGUAAUUAUUGUACUGUA